GAUGAACGCUGGCGGCGUGCCUAACACAUGCAAGUCGAGCGAUUCUCUUCGGAGAAGAGCGGCGGACGGGUGAGUAACGCGUGGGUAACCUGCCCUGUACACACGGAUAACAUACCGACAGUGAUGCUAAUACGAGAUAAUAUGCUUUUAUCGCAUGGUAGCAGUAUCAAAGCACCGGCGGUACAGGAUGGACCCGCGUUUGGUUAGCUAGUUGGUAAGGUAACGGCUUACCGAGGCGACGAUCAGUAGCCGCCCUGAGAGGGUGAUCGGCCCCAUUGGAACUGAGACACGGUCCAAACUCCUACGGGAGGCAGCAGUGGGGAAUAUUGCACAAUGGGCGAAAGCCUGAUGCAGCAACGCCGCGUGAGCGAUGAAGGCCUUCGGGUCGUAAAGCUCUGUCCUCAAGGAAGAUAAUGACGGUACUUGAGGAGGAAGCCCCGGCUAACUACGUGCCAGCCGCCGCCGUAA
rnacentral:rRNA from 1 species